AUGUAUCAGGGCUUAUUUGGAGAUACUAGCUGUUCACUGCUCUGUUUCCCUUUUCUGAGCAGCCGGAGAGGUGGCAUCUGGAAGAGAUGCAGGGCCAUGUUUCCAAGCUCCUGGAUCUUUAAGAUCAGCUGUGUCUGCAUCAUCCAGAAGGAAGCAUUGUUCCUGCCCUUGUUUGAGACCUAUUCCCACCCCCAUGCUUAUUAUCUAUUCACCAGGGCAUUUUACAUAAUUAAAAGGAGCUCUGUGACAAAUCGCACCACCCAGUACACCCGUGACAGACAUCUCUGAAUUGCCUGGGGGGAUGAGCCGGUUCCUCAGUGAUGGACCCAGCCUUCCAGAUGGCCAGGAUGAUGCAGGGAGUCUGUCCUUCCCGACAAAGGCGGGGGGCUCGGCGGCACUCCUCUCGGCACAGGUGAACCCGGCCCCAGCGGGCUGGAAAUGU
rnacentral:lncRNA from 12 species